rnacentral:rRNA from 1 species
AGAGGUCUCAAGCGUUGUUCGGAUUCAUUGGGCGUAAAGGGUGCGUAGGCGGCGCGGUAAGUCGGGUGUGAAAUCUCGGAGCUUAACUCCGAAACUGCAUUCGAUACUGCCGUGCUUGAGGACUGGAGAGGAGACUGGAAUUUACGGUGUAGCGGUGAAAUGCGUAGAUAUCGUAAGGAAGACCAGUGGCGAAGGCGGGUCUCUGGACAGUUCCUGACGCUGAGGCACGAAGGUCAGGGGAGCAAACGGGAUUAGAUACCCCGGUAGUCCUGACAGUAAACGGUGCACGUUUGGUGUGGGAGGAUUCGACCCCUUCUGCGCCGGAGCUAACGCGUUAAACGUGCCGCCUGGGGAGUACGGUCNNNANNNNA